CUGCCAUCGGGCCGGUGCAGAUACGGGGUUGCUCUUUUGCUCAUAAGAGGGGCUUCGCUGGCAGUCUGAACGGCAAGCUUGAGUCAGGACCCUUAAUUAAGAUCCUCAAUUGGCUGGAGGGCAGAUCUCGCGAGUAGGAGCCAGAGGCCAAGAAGAGUAAGACGGCCGCAAAGAAAAAUGACAAAGAGGCAGCAGGAGAGGGCCCAGCCCUGUAUGAGGACCCCCCAGAUCAGAAAACCUCACCCAGUGGCAAACCUGCCACACUCAAGAUCUGCUCUUGGAAUGUGGAUGGGCUUCGAGCCUGGAUUAAGAAGAAAGGAUUAGAUUGGGUAAAGGAAGAAGCCCCAGAUAUACUGUGCCUUCAAGAGACCAAAUGUUCAGAGAACAAACUACCAGCUGAACUUCAGGAGCUGCCUGGACUCUCUCAUCAAUACUGGUCAGCUCCUUCGGACAAGGAAGGGUACAGUGGCGUGGGCCUGCUUUCCCGCCAGUGCCCACUCAAAGUUUCUUACGGCAUAGGCGAGGAGGAGCAUGAUCAGGAAGGCCGGGUGAUUGUGGCUGAAUUUGACUCGUUUGUGCUGGUAACAGCAUAUGUACCUAAUGCAGGCCGAGGUCUGGUACGACUGGAGUACCGGCAGCGCUGGGAUGAAGCCUUUCGCAAGUUCCUGAAGGGCCUGGCUUCCCGAAAGCCCCUUGUGCUGUGUGGAGACCUCAAUGUGGCACAUGAAGAAAUUGACCUUCGCAACCCCAAGGGGAACAAAAAGAAUGCUGGCUUCACGCCACAAGAGCGCCAAGGCUUCGGGGAAUUACUGCAGGCUGUGCCACUGGCUG
rnacentral:sRNA from 1 species